AUGUCAUAUAAUGCGAAACACUGCAAGAGGAUCACGGGUUCAAAGGUUUGGCACCAAACCAGAACACAAAGGAACCAAGUAUCAAGAGGAUCAACAUCUUGUACCUGUAAGAAUAAUUCUCUCCCCACUGACGGGAGAACUCUAGGUCAGGGUAAGGUAAAAAGUCAAAUCAGAGUCGUGAGUCCUCAUGAAAGUAUUAUCAUCGUAAGAACAUACGUGAUAACAAUAGUACCCCCUUAG